GAACACCUUGCAAAGUAUGGUGUAUAUAAGCUUCUCCUGCAGCACAUCAUGUUAUUUGCUCUUCUUCUCUGGAUCUGUUUACAGAGAGCAGACUUUCUUUUAAUUGGCAAAGUGAUAAUGUGGUCUCUGUUGCUUAGAGCUGUUUGGCUGGUGAUAAAUAGGGAGGAUUUUUCUCUCCAGUGGCUGAUUUCAUAUCGGUUAUUGGCUCAAAACUCUCAUCUUCUGAGACAGCUGAUGUGGUGCAAGUCUGUGGCCCUGCUUGCUGUUGCCUGGCAGUCCUAA
rnacentral:lncRNA from 1 species